AUGGAGGUGGAGGCAGCGAGUGGCAGCGCCGGCGAGAUCAGGUGGUCGAAGCUGGGAACGUCGCUUCCCGUCGCGAACGUCCAGGCUCUGGUGGCGUCCGCCGGCGAGCUGACGGCCGACCAGAUCGAACGGUACGUCCAGCCGGACAUCGACGCGCACACCGUUCUCCCCGAGCACUCCGGCGAGGUUCCGGUGAUCGACCUCAGCAACCUCUUGAGCCCAGAGUCCGUCGAGGCAGAGGUCGCGAAGCUCAGGUUUGCCUGCGCCGAGUGGGGCUUCUUUCAGGUUGUAAAUCAUGGAAUACCAGAUGACGUCAUCACGGGCAUCAAGCAUGAUAUUCAGAAGUUCUUUCAACUCCCGUUAGAAGUUAAGAAUGCCUAUGCUCAGCGCCCAGGGGAUCUUCAAGGUUAUGGCCAAGCGUUUGUUGUCUCUGAUGAUCAGAAGCUAGACUGGUCUGACCUACUUGCCCUCUUCGCCCAACCAACCCAAGGCCGUGAUAUGAGUUAUUGGCCAAGUCAGCCCCAUACUUUCAGGAAUUCUGUUGAAGAUUACUCAAUGGAGCUGAUGAAACUCGCUCAAACCCUUAAUGUCUUCAUUGCCAAAACACUAGAUGUUGCUCCUGAACUACUGGCAGACAAACAUGUGGCACAAUUUCUUAGGAUGAGCUACUACCCUCCAUGCACGUCAAUGCCAGAAAAGGUGCUAGGCUUCUCACCGCAUUCUGAUGGAUCUUUUCUGACUAUUCUGCUAGAAAUUAAUUCAGUUCAAGGCUUACAAAUUAGAAGAUCUGGUGCAUGGAUUCCUGUGAAACCACGACAUGAUGCACUACUGGUGAAUGUGGGUGACCUUCUUGAGAUUUUGUCGAAUGGGAAGUACAAGAGCAUUGAGCAUCGGGUUACCAUAAAUGCCCACAAGGAGCGACUAUCUAUUUCAGCAUUUCACGUCCCAAACUAUGGUGGAAUAAUUUCACCAAUUUUGGGAACUAUAGAAGAGAAGAUGUUAUACAAAGCAGUGGGAGUAGAAGAGUAUGCAAGACUUUAUUUCGCAAAUAAACUAGAAGGAAAGAAAGCCCUGGAUUAUGCGAAGUUAUCCGGAAUAUAA
rnacentral:rRNA from 1 species